UGGGCCUUUCUUCCUUAUUUCCUGAUAACCCCCUGCAGAAAUAGACAAACACCAAAACUCGUGGAAUUCUGUCAGAUAAAACCCUAAGUCUAGAUGUUGAUUUUAUUUGGAUCCUUUUCUUUGUUUAUUUGAUAAUUAAAUUUGAUACUUAAGGACCGUCAACAAACUCCCCCAAGCUUACCUCUUGCUCGUCCCUGAGCAAGGAUGAACUCAAGAGUUUCUACAGUGGUUUCAUUUCUUAGAAGUACACACGCAUUUAAGCAAGAUCUCAUCUCUGAGUUAAAAUAAACUGUUAAGACUUAAAACUUACUUACUUUACCUACACCAUAGGACUUGUAACCGUCACUUCUGUCUUGAGUGGUUAAAAGAUAGAACAGUCUAGUCAAGUGCCAUGUCUCUCAUUCUUGAUCAGCUAUAGCUCUGGGGUUUUUGCAGAUUUUCAAAUAAAACUCAGAAAUUCCUUGUAUGAUUCUCUCAGGUCUCUCUUUUGUGGUAUUUUUGGAUCCUUACCAAGGCAGUGAUCGUAUAUGCCUUCUCUCAAGAUAUGUGGUAUUUGUGGUAUGAAGCAUAGUGACAUUGUCUUCUCUCUCACCCUACUCUAAUAAGGCUCUAAUAUCUGGAGCUCAUAGGUGGGAGAUAAAGUAUACAUACUUACAAGACAUUUAUUGCAUAGUCAAACCAUGGAUCCAAAGAAACAAAUCAAUAAGCCAAAUCAAGAUGUGCAUGUGAAUGGUGUAUGGUGAUGAUGGUGAUAAUGGUGGUGGAAGUCUAAUUCUACUUUGCUCUUUGAGGGGAUACAUACCUUCCUUGCUUUUGAAACUUUAUGAGGAGAAUGAGAUGCUCUAUAUUUUCUUUCUCUUUCCUCUCAGGUGGGUAUCUUGUACCCCUAAUUCUACUGUCGGACACUUGUCCAUUUUUACCUCUCGUCUCACUUUUUUUUCUUUUUCUUCGAGGUUCCGGGCACUUGCCCCUUUUUAUUUCCUCGUAUAUUAUUUUUUUUCUUCUUCUUCUUUUUUUUCUCUUUUUUUUUCUUUCUAGAGCACUCAUCUCCUGAAAUAAUGUAGCAAGUGGUAGUAACCAAAAUAACUGGAGCAUUUAUUUCUCAGGGAAUAAUAGGGAUAGGAAAAUGUUUUUGGCUAUUCUCUCCCGGAUUAGGAGUAGAAUAAUUUUGGGUAAAACUGGAGAUAGAAAUGAGUGGAUAUAUGUGGAUGGUACUUCCGGAGUAGAAGUAGCAUGUAUGAGUGAACGUGCAAGUGAAUCUUGAUUUAACCACAUGACAAGCUCCUAAGGGUCUACACAGCUUGACCACACUCAAUGCUCAUAAGCAGUAAAUAGUAAAUGUGUGGCUCAAGGUCUAGCAAGCAUGUAU
rnacentral:lncRNA from 1 species